rnacentral:rRNA from 1 species
UAGGGAAUCUUCCACAACGGACGCAAGUCUGAUGGAGCAACGCCGCGUGAGUGAAGAAGGUCUUCGGAUCGUAAAGCUCUGUUGUUGGUGAAGAAGGAUAGAGGCAGUAACUGGUCUUUAUUUGACGGUAAUCAACCAGAAAGUCACGGCUAAACUACGUGCCAGCAGCCGCGGUAAUACGUAGGUGGCAAGCGUUGUCCGGAUUUAUUGGGCGUAAAGCGAGCGCAGGCGGAAUGAUAAGUCUGAUGUGAAAGCCCACGGCUCAACCGUGGAA